rnacentral:rRNA from 1 species
GACGAACGCUGGCGGCGUGCUUAACACAUGCAAGUCGAGCGGUAAGGCCCUUUCGGGGGUACACGAGCGGCGAACGGGUGAGUAACACGUGGGUGACCUGCCCUCAGCUCUGGGAUAAGCCUGGGAAACCGGGUCUAAUACCGGAUAUGACUCCAUGACGCAUGUUGUGGGGUGAAAGCCUUGUGCGGCUGAGGGUGGGCCCGCGGCCUAUCAGCUUGUUGGUGGGGUGAUGGCCACCAAGGCGACGACGGUAGCCGGCCUGAGAGGGCGACCGGCCACACUGGGACUGAGACACGGCCCAGACUCCUACGGGAGGGCAGCAGUGGGGAAUCUUGCGCAAUGGGCGAAAGCCUGACGCAGCGACGCCGCGUGAGGGAUGACGGCC